rnacentral:rRNA from 1 species
UGGGGAAUAUUGCACAAUGGGCGCAAGCCUGAUGCAGCCAUGCCGCGUGUAUGAAGAAGGCCUUCGGGUUGUAAAGCACUUUCAGCGGGGAGGAAGGCGGUGAGGUUAAUAACCUCAUCGAUUGACGUUACCCGCAGAAGAAGCACCGGCUAACUCCGUGCCAGCAGCCGCGGUAAUACGGAGGGUGCAAGCGUUAAUCGGAAUUACUGGGCGUAAAGCGCACGCAGGCGGUCUGUCAAGUCGGAUGUGAAAUCCCCGGGCUCAACCUGGGAACUGCAUUCGAAACUGGGAGGCUAGAGUGGUGUAGAGGGGGGUAGAAUUCCAGGUGUAGCGGUGAAAUGCGUAGAGAUCUGGAGGAAUACCGGUGGCGAAGGCGGCCCCCUGGACAAAGACUGACACUCAGGUGCGAAAGCGUGGGGAGCAAACAGG